rnacentral:rRNA from 1 species
GGGCCUAAAGCGCCGUAGCCGGGCAGUUAAAUCCUCUGUGAAAUCGUCGCGCUCAACGUGACGGCGGGCAGGGGAGACUGGCUGCCUCGAGACCGGGAAGAGCUAGAGGUAUGCCGUGGGGACUGGUAAAAUGGUAUAAUCCACGGUAGACCACCAAUGGCGAAGGCAUCUGGCUGGAACGGAUCUGACGGUGAGGGACGAAAGCCAGGGGAGCGAACCGGAUUAGAUACCCGAGUAGUCCUGGCCGUAAACGCUGCGAGCAAGGUGUCGCCCAUCCCACGAGGAUGGGCGGUGUCGAAAUGAAGAUGCUAAGCUCGCCGCCUGGGAAGUACGGUCGCAAGACUGAAACUUUAAGGAAUUGGCGGGGGCGCACUACAAGGGGUGCGGCGUGCGGUUUAAUCCAACUCAACGCGGAGAACCUUACUAGGGGCGACGGCAGGAUGAAGGUCGUGCUAAAGACACUACCAGACGAGCCGAGAGGUAGUGCAUGGCCGCCGUCAGCUCGUGCCGUAAGGUGUCCAGUUAAGUCUGGUAACGAGCAAGACCUGCAUUCACAAUUGCUAACGAACUCUGUGAUCGAGCACAUUGUGGAGACCGCCCGGGUAACCGGGAGGAAGGUGCAGGCAACGGUAGGUCUGUAUGCUCCGAAUCCCCUAGGCUACACGCGCGCAACAA